rnacentral:tRNA from 1 species
GGGCCCAUAGCUCAGCGGUAGAGCAGCCGGCUCAUAACCGGUAGGGCGCACGUUCGAAUCGUGCUGGGCCCA